GUUGGUGAUGAAAAUUGUUAAGAGAGUAGAUCUUAAAUGUUAACAUAUAAUACAGUUCUGUUAAUUGUAGUCACUAUGCUUUACAUUAGAUACUCAUAAAUGAUGCAUCUUCUAGCUGGAAGUGUGUACUCUCUGACUAUGAUCCCCCAUUUCCCCACUUCCCCAGACCUUGGAAACCAAUAUGUAUGGUGUCUUUUUUUUUUUUAAUCUAUCACUGGAUACUUAUGUAAGUUGUUUCCAUAUCUUGGCUAUUGCAAAUAAUACUGCAAUGAGCUUGGGAAUGUAGUUAUCUCUUUGAGACAGUGAUUUCACUUCCUGUGGAUAUAUACCCAGAAGUGAGAUUGUUGGAUCAUAUGGUAAUUCUAAAUUAAAAUGCAAA